CACAGAUGAUGGACUUAUUGAGGGGUGGACAGAGACUGUGCGCUGAUUGUCAUGCUCUAAGUUG